UACGAAGGUGGCAAGCGUUGUUCGGAUUUACUGGGCGUACAGGGAGCGUAGGCGGUUGGAUAAGCCCUCCGUGAAAUCUCCAGGCUUAACCUGGAAAGUGCAGAGGGGACUGUUCAGCUAGAGGAUGGGAGAGGAGCGCGGAAUUCCCGGUGUAGCGGUGAAAUGCGCAGAUAUCGGGAGGAACACCAAUGGCGAAGGCAGCUCGCUGGGACGUUACUGACGCUGAGACGCGAAAGCGUGGGGAGCAAACAGG
rnacentral:rRNA from 1 species